AACGAACGCUGGCGGCAGGCCUAACACAUGCAAGUCGAACGCCCUAGCAAUAGGGAGUGGCAGACGGGUGAGUAACGCGUGGGAAUAUCCCCCUCAGUACGGAAUAGCCCAGGGAAACUUGGAGUAAUACCGUAUACGUCCGUGAGGAGAAAGAUUUAUCGCUGAGGGAUUAGCCCGCGUAGGAUUAGCUAGUUGGUGAGGUAACGGCUCACCAAGGCGACGGUCCUUAGCUGGUCUGAGAGGACAAUCAGCCACACUGGGACUGAGACACGGCCCAGACUCCUACGGGAGGCAGCAGUGGAGAAUAUUGGACAAUGGGCGCAAGCCUGAUCCAGCCAUGCCGCGUGAGUGACGAAGGCCUUAGGGUUGUAAAGCUCUUUUGGCGGGGACGAUAAUGACGGUACCCGCAGAAUAAGCCCCGGCUAACUUCGUGCCAGCCGCCGCGGUAAAAC
rnacentral:rRNA from 1 species